rnacentral:rRNA from 1 species
AGAACGAACGCUGGCGGCAUGCCUAACACAUGCAAGUCGAACGAGGCCCUUCGGGGUUUAGUGGCGCACGGGUGCCUAACGCGUGGGAAUCUGCCCUUUGGUUCGGAAUAACAGCUGGAAACGGCUGCUAAUACCGGAUGAUGACGAAAGUCCAAAGAUUUAUCGCCAGAGGAUGAGCCCGCGUUGGAUUAGGUAGUUGGUGGGGUAAAGGCCUACCAAGCCGACGAUCCAUAGCUGGUCUGAGAGGAUGAUCAGCCACACUGGGACUGAGACACGGCCCAGACUCCUACGGGAGGCAGCAGUGGGGAAUAUUGUUUUAUGGGCGCAAGCCUGAUCCAGCAAUGCCGCGUGAGUGAUGAAGGCCCUAGGGUUGU